UAGUAUUUUUUUUUUCAUUUUUUAGUAUUGUGUACUAUUUAGGGAAAAUAACAUUUGUUUAUGUUAAAUAGAAAGAAAAGGUAGAAGAUUAAUAAGUUUAUUUGUUUCACAAAUAAAAUUAUUUGUUUUGGUGUUGAUAUGUCGACUUUUUUGUUAUCUGUUUAUUUUUUCUUAUUAGAAAGUUAUAUGGUUUGUUUGUAUGUUAGGGAGUUAAGAUUUUGUAGUGUUCUUUUUUUUGUGUUUUAUAACGUUUUCUUUUUUUUUUAAUUGGAUGGUUUUGUUUUUAUUAAUUUUUUAAUAAAUUUAUGAUUUUGAAUUUAGUAGUUUUGUUUAAAUCUUUGUUUUUUGUUUUAAUUUUUUUGUGUGAACUUGUCUUUUGGUCAAAUGUUUUUUAAAGACUUAGGUCUUUUUUGAGACUGGCCUCUGCUCUAUGUUUUUAUAAAUGGCAGUCUUAGCGUGAGGACAUUAAGGUAGCAAAAUAAUUUGUGCUUUUAAUGGGUUCUAGUAUGAAUGGGGUUAGUGGCUAAUUUUUUACUUUUAUUUUUAUGAAUUAGUUUUGUGUUUAAGAAAUAAUGGUUGAUAUUAUACAAAGAUAAGUCUUCGGAAAUUUUUUUGUUAAAUAUUUUUUUAUUUUUUUAAUAUGUUUUCUAGGGUAGAAUGUUUUGUAACUUUUUUUACUAAUUUUAAUUUAAAAAAUUACUUCGGAGUUAACAGAAAAUCAUAUCUGAUUUAGUUCUUAUAAUAAUGAUAAGUUUUACAUCGAUGUUGUAUUUUAGUUCUUAAAGGGAGGAGAGGAUUUUAGGUUUUAGACUGUUCUUCUAUUAUUAAACUAAACGUGAUAUUAGUUUAAUUCAUCGUGAGAUAGAAUUGUUUAUCUUGGUAAUGUCUUAGUUUUAAUUACUGAAAGUACGAAAGGAAAUUUGUUGGAGUUUGAUAACUUUUGAAAGCGUUAGUACUUUUU
rnacentral:rRNA from 1 species